UACACACUCAGUGUGUGUGUGUGGGUCGAUGUUCGACCAGGAGAGAAAGGAAAAGGGGUAAAACCCUAGAUCACCAAAAUCCAUCAAAUUGAAGGAGGAUUGAAGGGCUAAUCGAAUGCAUGAACCAGGAAUGUCGAUCAUUUAAGUGUUUCUACCAUCAUGAACGUGUCAAGGAGAGGUCAAGCAUAGGAGGAUAACGGGUCAAGAUAAGGCAAGGUGACAAAUACACUUAUUGGAGUACUCAAGGUAUGGGAUUGUUGGCUUCAUGAAGAAAUGGAGCUGGAUUUGGAUAAGAGUAUUUAAGAAAGCGCUUGGACAAUUCCAUGAUUACUUUAUGGAAUGCUCUACGAAAUUCUAUUAUAUAGGUUAAUGUUGUAUGGUAUGUUAAUGACUAAUGGUUUGGUUGUACGUGGUGUCCACAGGUAUCGCUUGGGUUUUCUCUACAUUUAUUGAAGUCAAGCAGGGAUUAGUUCAAGUUGAGAGCAAG